UACAGAGGUCUCAAGCGUUGUUCGGAUUCAUUGGGCGUAAAGGGUGCGUAGGCGGAUCUUUAAGUCAGGGGUGAAAUCCUGGAGCUCAACUCCAGAACUGCCUUUGAUACUGGGGAUCUCGAGUCCGGGAGAGGUGAGUGGAACUCCGAGUGUAGAGGUGAAAUUCGUAGAUAUUCGGAAGAACACCAGUGGCGAAGGCGGCUCACUGGCCCGGUACUGACGCUGAGGUGCGAAAGCGUGGGGAGCAAACAGG
rnacentral:rRNA from 1 species